UACGGGGGAGCAAGCGUUGUUCGGAUUUACUGGGCGUAAAGGGCGCGUAGGCGGCCACCGCAAGUCGACUGUGAAAUCUCCGGGCUUAACCCGGAAAGGUCAACCGAUACUGCGGGGCUAGAGUGCAGAAGGGGCAACUGGAAUUCUCGGUGUAGCGGUGAAAUGCGUAGAUAUCGAGAGGAACACCUGCGGCGAAGGCGGGUUGCUGGGCUGACACUGACGCUGAGGCGCGAAAGCUAGGGGAGCGAACGGG
rnacentral:rRNA from 1 species